CCGCGGUGUGAACUGCAGGACACAUGAACACCGCCGAAUUUGAACGAUAUUGCGCAUUGACGACUCAGUGCGAUGUACACAUUUUUGAGUGCCCACAUUC
rnacentral:rRNA from 1 species